UACGUAGGGAGCGAGCGUUGUUCGGAGUUACUGGGCGUAAAGGGCGUGUAGGCGGUUGUUUAAGUUUGGUGUGAAAUCUCCCGGCUCAACUGGGAGGGUGCGCCGAAUACUGAAUGGCUUCGAGUGCGGGAGAGGAAAGUGGAAUUCCUGGUGUAGCGGUGAAAUGCGUAGAUAUCAGGAGGAACACCGGUGGUGUAGGCGGCUUUCUGGACCGUAACUGACGCUGAGACACGAAAGCGUGGGUAGCAAACAGG
rnacentral:rRNA from 1 species